UUGAACGCUGGCGGCAUGCCUUACCCAUGCAAGUCGAACGGUAACGGGCCUUCGGGUGCCGACGAGUGGCGAACGGGUGAGUAAUACAUCGGAACGUGCCCGAUCGUGGGGGAUAACGAGGCGAAAGCUUUGCUAAUACCGCAUACGAACUACGGACGAAAGCAGGGGACCGGAAGGCCUUGCGCGGACGGAGCGGCCGAUGGCGGAUUAGGUAGUUGGUGGGAUAAAAGCUUACCAAGCCGACGAUCUGUAGCUGGUCUGAGAGGAUGAUCAGCCACACUGGGACUGAGACACGGCCCAGACUCCUACGGGAGGCAGCAGUGGGGAAUUUUGGACAAUGGGCGCAAGCCUGAUCCAGCCAUGCCGCGUGCAGGAUGAAGGCCUUCGGGUUGUAAACUGCUUUUGUACGGAACGAAAAGCAUUCUUUUAAUACAGGAGGGUCCUGACGGUACCGUAAGAAUAAGCACCGGCUAACUACGUG
rnacentral:rRNA from 1 species